rnacentral:pre_miRNA from 1 species
UGUGUACUCCCUCCGUUCCAAAAUACUUGACUUCCAUUUGUCCAAAAAUAGAUGUACCUAUAUACUAAAACAUGUCUAGAUACAUAUAUAUUUUGACAAAUAGAAGGCAUGUAUUGUGCAACAGAGGGAGUAGAAU